AUUGAACGCUGGCGGCAGGCCUAACACAUGCAAGUCGAACGAGUGGCGGACGGGUGAGUAAUGUCUGGGAAACUGCCUGAUGGAGGGGGAUAACUACUGGCAACGGUAGCUAAUACCGCAUACCAUCAGAUGUGCCCAGAUGGGAUUAGCUAGUAGGUGGGGUAAUGGCUCACCUAGGCGACGAUCCCUAGCUGGUCUGAGAGGAUGACCAGCCACACGGUAACUGAGAAACGGUCCAGAGUCCGACGGGAGGCAGCGGUGGGGAAUAUUGCACAAUGGGCACAAGCCUGAUGCAGCCAUGCCGCGUGUGUGAAGAAGGCCUUCGGGUUGUAAAGCACUUUCAGCGGGGAGGCGUUACCCGCAGAAGAAGCACCGGCUAACUCCGUGCCAGCAGCCGCGGUAAUUC
rnacentral:rRNA from 1 species